rnacentral:tRNA from 1 species
UCCGAAUUGGUGUAGUGGCCAACAUUUGACGCUCUCAAACAUGAAGAACCGUCAAGCCCGGGGUUCGAUUCCCCGAUUCGGAG